UACGUAGGGUGCAAGCGUUGUCCGGAAUUAUUGGGCGUAAAGAGCUCGUAGGCGGUCUGUCACGUCGGCUGUGAAAACGCGAGGCUCAACCUCGCGCCUGCAGUGGGUACGGGCAGACUAGAGUGCGGUAGGGGAGAUUGGAAUUCCUGGUGUAGCGGUGGAAUGCGCAGAUAUCAGGAGGAACACCGAUGGCGAAGGCAGAUCUCUGGGACCGUAACUGACGCUGAGGAGCGAAAGCCAGGGGAGCAAACGGG
rnacentral:rRNA from 1 species